rnacentral:lncRNA from 1 species
GAAACCCCCAGAUCACCCCAGUUAGAGUAAUUCUUCUUAACUGCUUGUGUGAAACAUCAAGUGUAACUGCACUUUCUUCACCUGGAAUUCCAGAUCACCCUCCGGAAGCAUUUCUCAGCGCUCUCACCAGCGGUUUCCGGGCCUUAACCGAAAAACAGAAUGAAUAGUCAGUACGUUAGAUUCUCGAAGUCCUCUGCAUCAAUUAUAUAUUCCAGUGUUUCACUGAAUCGACAAACGUUAACUCAGUGACGUAGGUUCUAUAAUCUUCAUUUUACAGGUGAAGAAUCUGAGGCACAGAGAAGUCACUUGGCUGUGGUCGUAUCAUGGAAGUGGAGAAGGGAGGGCUUGAACCGUGGCAGUUUUGUUACAGAACUGACCUUGCGAGCAAGACCGUGACAUCUCUGAUCCUGCUGCUGCUGCUGCUACUAAGUCACUUCAGUCGUGUCCGACUCUGUGCGACCCCGUAGACGGCAGCCCACCAGGCUCCCCCGUCCCUGGGAUUCUCCAGGCAAGAACACUGGAGUGGGUUGCCAUUUCCUUCUCCAAUGCAUGAAAGUGAAAAGUGAAAGUGAAGUCGCUCAGUCGUGUCCGACUCUCAGCGACCCCGUGGACUGCAGCCUACCAGGCUCCUCCGUCCAUGGGAUUUUCCAGGCAAGAGUACUGGAGUGGGGUACCAUUGCCUUCUCCGAUCUCUGGUACACUGGUGCCCAAAAGGAAAGUGACUUUCUUUAGCUCAUGCAGAAUGUAUAUGACCAGUGACGUAACAGAAACAUGGAGAAGAGAAGAAAUUGUUCAGGGUCAUUUUAGUAGAGAGUAGCGAAUCUGGGAUACUCAUUUCCAAUGGAGACAAUCAGUACUUCAACAGCACCCCACCAUCGGCUGCUUCUUUUGAUGUAAAGUAAGUGGAGGAAUGAAUGGGCACUGGAUUUUUGAAGAAGCUCUCUAAGAAUAAAAAUAAAGGUAGAAAGUAAAUGAAGAUGGAUGGACGCAAGGAGGAGCCUGAGAGAGGCUCCCAGCCCUUGGGCAGGCAGAGAAGGAGAAGGGGUGAGAGUGGAAGAAUAAAGAAAGGUCCCAGGUGCUGGAAAAGCUGGUGUUAAAGGACAUGCAUGGUUUCCCUCCCUGUGAUUCCCGAGCAGCUCCUAGAAUAGAUCCUGUUGCAUAUUUCUGGUUCCAGGGAGGGGUCAUUUGAAAGAAGGCUUAAUGAUUUCUUGGAGUGUCCUAAAAUCCUGAAAUACCUCCACGAAUCUGAAAUUCUUUUUGAUGACAAAUAUGUCACCUACAGUUAGAGAGAAAAAUAAAUUCUGAUUGAGGGAGGAGAGACACUUGUUUUGAGUGCUAAUUAAUAUCAGGCGCAGUAAAGAAGAAGUCCUACAUGUAUGAUCUCAUUUAAUUUUUUUAGCAGCCUAUGCAAGAGACUAGUAGCUCCAUUUAGUAAACAAAAAUGAUGAAAUGGAGAGGUUAAGAGACUGUUAACUUUCAAUGUGUGACUAUGCCUUUUUUGAGCCAGUAAAGAAGACUCUGUGUCAGGAGGUAUUUUUGUCAUAUAUGAGUACAUUUGGUUUGGCUUGAAAUAACUGCUGAAGAUUUUUUAAAACAAAGUGCUUGCUAAAGCAACACGUUUUCAGAGGAUGCAUUGAUUGAGGUAUCACUGUUUUGCACAUAGAGCAAUUAUAGUAACGUAUGAUUCUUGGAAACAUGAAUACCUAGUGCUAUUGUUGUCAUUUGUAAAUUGAAAAGGUGUUUGUGUAGAAGCAGACGUUUCCUCAGUCCUGGUACUAAAACUUUUUAAGGACUAUUUAAGUUUUUUUCCCCCAAAUAUGUAUUUUAAACAAUUUUUUCCCAGUAAGACAAGAAAAAGUGGCUUACUAUUAUUUUUUACAGACCAAUAAGGUCCUUGAGCUAGGAAAUACUAACUCACUUCUCUUUUUUAAAAAUUAAUUAAUUUUAAUUGGAGGCUAAUUACUUUACAAUAUUGUAGUGGUUUAUAUUGCAUGGCUCUUAAAGUUAUGCAGCCGGCUGCUUUCACUUUUGCUUCUGAAGAACUUUCAAGUUCUUUGUGAGCAGAUAAACAUUUCCCCAAACAUUUCAGAUUUUGUUCUGUUGGAUGAUUGAGAUAAUUUUUGAUUUGGAAUUAAACAGCUGUUAAAAUGUACUCAAGUACCCACCAUGUUAACCUUCACUGGCAAGGAUUUAGGACUCACAGUCUCCUAACAUCUGUGUUUCAGAAAGAUUUGCAGUCAGGAGUUGUAGGGUGUGUGGCUGAAAUGGCUCCAUGCAGCACAGACUGACCUUGAACUGGGGACUUUUCUCGGCCAGUUUGCAUCAGGAAAAUCCCUCCCGCAGCCCAGGGUCUCCCUUGACUGCUCCAGAGCCAAAAGCUGUCGUCAGA